UGACCAUAGGAUACUGUAGCAGUCAUAAGUAUGAAAGACAAUCAUAAAUUACUUUUUUCAGUGCUGUUGUAACUUUGAACAGUCACUAAAUGAACUGUGGUAAGUCGAGGACUACCUGUAUAAAUUCUGGUCUUGUUAUCUAAAAGGCAUUUUGUUCCUUGGUGAUACAUUCACUUAGUAACAAUCCCUCAGUGAUAGAGGUUUUGUCCAGUAUCUGCAGGAUCUUGGGAGAAUUAUUUCCAGAAUAUUUUCAAAACAAAAUAAUUCAGCUGGGACUUAACUUUUCAGCCUCCCAUGUCCAGAUCAAGAACCUCAUUUCACAAUUAAAACCCAGAACAGGCUUGGAAGAAAUUGCUAUCUCCCCCCAGAUUUAUUAAGGGAGAACAAGGACUGGUGAGUUAGGGUCAAUGCUCCUAUUCACUCCUAUUAACAGCUCAGUGUGUUUUCCUCCUAAGUGGAGCUGUCAUUGUUAUCCAAUCCUAUGACAUAAGAAACUAGAUUAGGCUGCCAUUUUUGACCAUCAGUCAGCAAACUAAAUAAUAAAUGUACUUACAACUAUUGAACCAGGCUGCAAGUGAAAACGUCUUAGUUGAGGAGAAGACACAUUUUAAUGUAGACUAAUCAAUUCUUAACCACCAUCUGGUCAUCCACUGUUUUACUGAGAAAUAUUCUUUCCAGCCCAAAGCCUUUGGGUUAAUUCCCAGGGAGAGGAUAUGAGAAAAACUAAGGGAAUCUUAAUAGAUGAAGCGUAGCUUCUUUUCAUUUAAUUCCUCCACUCCAACACUACUUUGAGAGUUAGAUGCUUCUCCUGGGGACGGAAUGACCAUGGCAGAUCUGAAGGAGAUGGUGUGAGACAGAGGGGCACAGAGAGUGCUGAUCCAUAGAGUGGCGGAGGGUCAGAUACAACUGAAUGGCUGACAAUGAACUGGGGACUAUCCCUGAUCAGAGAAGUAUCCUGAGGAGAACUUUUGGAUAAUUGGUAAGUAUUGUUCAGUGAAGCUUCUAAUUAUUCUGAGGUGUUUUUUUCAUUUGGAGAAAGCUCAUUAUAUCCCUGAAAGGGUUUUAUAUUCAAGGUUGCCUCCCAACUUGUAUACAAUAGCCAAGUCUGUGACAUCCUUGAAACCAUUCAAUUUAAGCAUAUUAGAGCUACUCUUCUAGUCCCAGGAUGUAUUACAAAUGCUGCUUUAUGUUUAGAUAUAGGCUUAGUCUCUGUGGAUGCUAGAGCCUGGUCCUAUCAUUUUUAAAAAUUGCUAAUGUAAGCAUGUUUCCCAAUGAAUUUGAUGUCUGCCAUUGAUUCUUCAACCUGGUUAAAAAGGUUGAAAAUGUUACUCUCUAACUCUCUUGUUGAAGUGCCUUUGAAAACAGAAGCAUUCUAGGUAAUGUACCUGAGAUCUUCAAAUGAUUCUGUGGUUCCCUGUCUUGCAAGACAUGGAUAUGAUUUUCAAAUGGAUAUGAUCCACCCUCCUGCCUCUCUUCUAUCACAGUCUGAAGUUUUGCUGACUCUUCACUCUGGACAGACUGGAUGCACUGCCUUCUGCUUCUCUUCAGGGUUACAGAAAUACUCCUCACAUACUUAAGAGGGCAUCAGGGUGACAAUGUUGGCUCACCUAGAGCUUAAAAAUUACAAUGUCUGUUUUCCCCAAAACAGAUUAUCCUUGCAAUGGAAUCCUUGUGUAACCCAGGGAUUGCCUUGUAUGAAAAAUGCAUUUAAAAGCAUUAUCAGUGUAAAUAAAUGGGGAUACUAUUUUUUCCAUGCUAUGUAUUAGGGAUCUUUAAUUAAAGAAAUAAUUUUUGCUGUGAAACUCUCA